rnacentral:rRNA from 1 species
GACGAACCGAGCGAACGUUGUUCGGAAUCACUGGGCUUAAAGGGCGCGUAGGCGGGCUGUCAAGUCUGGGGUGAAAUCCCGCGGCUCAACCGUGGAACUGCCUCAGAUACUGACGGCCUCGAGGGAGGUAGGGGCGAGCGGAACUCUCAGUGGAGCGGUGAAAUGCGUUGAUAUUGGGAGGAACUCCGGUGGCGAAAGCGGCGCACUGGACCACAACUGACGCUGAGGCGCGAAAGCUAGGGGAGCAAACAGG